UCGGGAAAGUGCUGAUAAGAGGCAAUCUGUUGGACUUAUUUCAUCUAUGCCAUAUGGAAUUGAUGGUAAGUCUAAUAACGGUGGUAGGGGUACUGCAGCAAAAAGCAUCUCAAGGAGGGUUGUUGUGCCUAAUAGACAACCAAAACAAACAUUUGAAUCAGAAGGUUUGAAUUCACGAUCAGUUGGUUCACGGGAGGUAGAUUCGGGAAGUAAGGCUGAAAAGGGGGCUGGAAAAGAAUCUUUGAGAAAGAAUCAGAGCAUUUCACAUGCUGGAGAGGGCGUUGAUGCACCAUUGCAAAGUGGAAUUGUGCGUGUUUUUGA
rnacentral:misc_RNA from 1 species